UUUGGGUAUUUAUUUACAAGUAUUAGCUCUGAUCACCCCUGUCAACAAAAUAGCCCGUCCCGCAUUUCCAUAUAUGGGCGUAACUUUUACCUGGGGGGAGAAGACGGCUCUUUUGUUAUGCAAAUGAGAUCCGGGUGACGUGAUUUGAGGAGAGAGGGGGAACGGUCGUCUGCGCAGCCGGCCGGCCAUGUGCGUUUUAUACUUGCUUUGAAGACAAAUGGACGACACUAAAAAUUCUUUCUGCUUUUUGCUCCAAAAACUAUGUAUUUUCACCGGAUUUUGGAAGGAAAACAACAGGAAAAGUGUAAUGUAAGGCUUCUCCGAAGAGAUCUACCUGUCAACAAGUGUACAAGACUGGGCUAUGAUAACAGAGCUUUUUAAAUGCACACUCAAGUUUGAGGCUUAGCAUCUCCAAAGAGAUCUACCCGUCAACAAGUGAGAUGUCAAAGACUGGCCUGUGCAAGUAGCUGCAAGCACUCGCCAUUCAAGGUUUACCAUCUCCAAAUGUCAAAUACUGGCCUGUGAAAGGAGCUUCAAGCACUCUCCAGUUAGAGGAAGACUUUACAUCUCCGACAAAAUAUACCCUUCAACAAGUUGAUAUCAAAGAAUGGCCUGUAAUAAAUGAGCUGCAAGCACUCUCCUGUUAGAGUCAAGCUUAACAGCUCCGAAGAGAUCUACCUGUCAACAAAUGGAUGUCCAAGACUAGCUUAUGAUGAAGGAGCUGCAAGUAUCCUCCAUUAAGAAGAAUUUCUUAAAAUCUUACCAUCUCCAAAGAGAUAUCUGUCCGUCACCAAGAAGAUAUUCAAGACUGGAUUAUGAUAAAGGAGCUGCACUCUCUAGUGAAAGUCAGGCUUACCAUCUCCAAAGAGAUCUACCUGUCAACAUGCCAAACACUGACCUAUAAAGGAGCGGAUGGCACUUUCCAGAGUAAGGCGCGGCUUUUCAUCUCUGAAGUGAUCUACUCAUCAACAAGUAGGUUUUCAAGCCUGGCCCAUGGUUAUUGAGCUUCAAGCAGUCUCCAGUGAGUCUCCAAAACAUCUACGUUUCAACAAUUGAAUGUCUGAGACCCAAGUAUCAUCAUACAACCUGCCAUAAAGAACUACCUUCUGUGUAAACGGGGGAGGAGACCUUAAUUACUUCAUAAAACACUUGUUCUGUACAUUGGUUUGAUUAUGGGACAUAUAUUGUGACAUCAAACUGAAAUAUUUCAAAAUGUUGAUUGGUUUCACAUUUUAAGCGUUGUCAACUAUUUUGACAAAAACACACCUUUAAUCACUACCUAUACACUUUUAUUACUGGAUCCGAAGCUCAAGUUAUGUUGACAACAAUUUGUUUUUGUGACAUCGAUUAACAAAUACAGAUGUUA